rnacentral:rRNA from 1 species
GAUGAACGCUGGCGGCGUGCUUAACACAUGCAAGUCGAACGAGAAGUGAAGACGGAACCCUUCGGGCGGAAGGCUUUAUUUCGAGUGGCGGACGGGUGAGUAACGCGUGGGUAACCAGCCUCAUACAGGGGGAUAACAGUUGGAAACGACUGUUAAUACCGCAUAAGACCACAGCACCGCAUGGUGCGGGGGUAAAAACUCCGGUGGUAUGAGAUGGACCCGCGUUCGAUUAGCCAGUUGGCGGGGUAACGGCCCACCAAAGCGACGAUCGAUAGCCGAUCUGAGAGGAUGACCGGCCACAUUGGGACUGAGACACGGCCCAAACUCCUACGGGAGGCAGCAGUGGGGAAUAUUGCACAAUGGGGGAAACCCUGAUGCAGCGACGCCGCGUGAGUGAAGAAGUAUUUCGGUAUGUAAAGCUCUAUCAGCAGGGAAGAAAAUGACGGUACCUGAGUAAGAAGCCCCGGCUAACUACGUG